rnacentral:rRNA from 1 species
GGAUUAGAUACCCGGGUAGUCCACGCCGUAAACGAUGGAUGCUAGCUGUUAUAGGUAUCGACCCCUGUAGUAGCGAAGCUAACGCGUUAAGCAUCCCGCCUGUGGAGUACGGUCGCAAGACUAAAACAUAAAGGAAUUGACGGGGACCCGCACAAGCGGUGGAGCGUGUUGUUUAAUUCGAUGGUAAACGAAGAACCUUACCCAGGUUUGACAUCCUUGGAAUUUUGCCGAAAGGCGAGAGUGCUUUGAUUAGAGCCAAGUGACAGGUGUUGCAUGGCCGUCGUCAGCUCGUGUCGUGAGAUGUUUGGUUAAGUCCAUCAACGAGCGCAACCCUUAUGGUCUGUUGUAUUUCUCAGGCCAGACUGCCCUGGCAACAGGGAGGAAGGGGGGGAUG